AGGGAGAAAUGCAAAGGUUCGGCCGCCGAAGGUCACUUUCGGCCGCCGAACAUUGCAUGGUUUCGGAUUCAUGUUCGGCUGCCGAAGGUGGUCUAGCCAGCCACCUAUAAAAGGGCCAAAGGUCGGUGGAAGGAGGAUAUUUCUCCUCCACUUGCAGCCAGAGGUGAGUUCAAGCCUCUCCCAAGUUGACUGUCAUGUUUUUCAUGUUUUUCACCAAAUCUUUCAAGGGUUUUAAGAGUUUUGGUGUGUUUUGAAGGUUUUGAGCAAAAAUAGCAAGUUUGGAAGUUUGGAGCUUUAGCAGAGGUUUUCUUCAUAUCUCCACGUUAGGAUCACUCAUCCUCAAGUUCUUAAGGAGGUAAGGGUGGAUCCUGAACUUCCUUGCUGAUUUUUCAAGGUUUUAUGAAAGUUUGAUGGGUAGUAUGCAUGAUUAGGUUUAGGAGAGGUUUUUGGGAGAUGUUUAUGUUCAAGCAUGUGAAGUGUUGUUUGAUGUGUUUGUUUGAGGUUUUAGGCUCGUUUUGGACCUCUGUAUGCAUGUUUUAUGGUAUGUCCUAGUUGGGAGUAGUUGAUAUGCAUGUUGGGUAAGUUUUGGGUAAGUUUUGCAUGAAACAGAGCAGGGUUCUGCCCAACGGGCAAAACCAGGUUCUGCCGCCGAAGGAAGGUUCGGCCGCCGAACCCCUUGUGGAGGCAGUUUCGGCUGCCAAAGCUUGCCCCCGAAACUUGGGACUUUCGUCUCUGGAGGCAAGGUUCGGCUGCCGAAAGUGCCGCCGAAGGUUGAGUUUCAUCUCUGGACGAGACUUUCGGCUGCCGAAGGUGCCGCCGAACAUGCAUGAGUUUCGUCUCUGGAGAGGGGUUUCGGCCGCCGAACCUGCCGCUGAAAGUGCCCUGUCCAGCUUUCUGUUGCAUAUUUUAUGUGAUUGUUUGGGGAUCUUUGAGAGGGGUUUAAGGGAGUUUCUUAGAGAUGUUCUUGAGUUAGUUUGGUCCCUCAUUUGCGUCCACCUGUGUAGGAACGGACCAGAGGAACCCCAGAGAGCAGCAGUGAGCACUGCUUCAGAACUUGCAGAGUUAGUACAGAGUCAGCCAGAGGUGAGUGGACUUCUCUUUUCAGAACUAAACUGCUUUGAGCAUAUGUCAUGCAUCAUAAGAGUAUAGUAGGGUGUUUGCAUUAGUUGCACGAAGUUGACGCAUUGCAUAAUACGAUGAGGCUGUGGAUAGACCAAGGUGACUCCAAUAGCCCAAACUCUGUUAUAAGACCUGGCCGAGCCAGGCAGCCAUCUGUAGGUAAGACCUGACUAGAUCAGGCAGCAGAGAUAGUAAGACCUGGCUGGGCCAGGCAGGCAGAGUGGUAAGACCUGGCCGGGCCAGGCAAAUUGAGGUUGUAAGACCUGGCUAGGCCAGGCAUCCUUUGAGUGGGAUUGUUGGUGGUCAUGUCUGAUCCCUGAGAUGAUGUGAUGUAGUGCAUUCCAUGAGAUCAUGUUUUCAACUUAUGGUUUAUAUAGUUCUGCUCAUUGGGCUUGUAUAGCUCAUCCCUCUUCCUUAUCCCCCAGGUUUGCAGGUUCAGAGUUCAGAGGGAGUCCAGCAGGGUUUGCAAGAAGAAGAGUUAUGUAAUAGCUAGUGUGGACAUGUACAUGUAAAGAGAUAAUGUAUAGUGUGUAGCUUUGUGCUUGACUUAUAAGAGUUGUAAUCCCUUGUUGUAGACACAUGAUCAUUUUAUGUAUGUUUUCUUUUAUUGUUAUGACUAUGAGAAAACCAGGCUUAACAUUAUGAGUUGAUAGAUCAGAAAUCGUGCAUGCACAGGUUAAGCCCUGGAGAAAAGAAAAGUUUUAAUGGUUUGACAGAAAAUGUAUGAUCAUGUAUGGGAUGUCACAGGUACACAGACAGUAUAGCAGGCUUACUACGGGUCUCGGCGACCUUAAGUCGAUCUGGAUCCUAGUGCCGGUAGCAGUUCGGUUUCCGGGUUGUUACAUUAUGAGGGAAGCUCAUAAUGCGAGGUAUAGCGUUCACCCUGGAGCCACCAAGACGUAUCAAGACCUGAGAAGGGUGUAUUGGUGGCCAGCGAUGAAGAGGGAAGUGGCACAGUUUGUGUCAGCCUGCGAGACAUGUCAGAGGGUGAAGCUAGAACACCAGAAACCGGCUGGAAUGCUUAACCCACUGCCGAUUCCAGAGUGGAAAUGGGAGAACAUCGCUAUGGAUUUUGUAGUGGGGUUACCGGCGACGUCCAACAGGCUAGACUCCAUAUGGGUGAUUGUGGACAGACUGACGAAAUCUGCUCACUUCAUUCCAGUCAAGAGCAACUAUUCUGUGGACAAGUUAGCGCAGGUCUAUGUAGAAGAGAUAGUCAAGCUGCAUGGAGUUCCAAUGUCGAUAGUAUCAGAUAGAGGACCGCAGUUCACCUCCAGGUUUUGGCGGAGUCUGCAAGCUGCUAUGGGUAUAAGAUUGGAUUUCAGCACUGCUUUCCAUCCACAGACAGACGGUCAGUCAGAGAGGACCAUCCAGACCAUAGAAGAUAUGCUGAGAAUGUGUGUGUUAGACUUUGGCGGUUCUUGGAGGCAGCAUCUACCUCUGGUGGAGUUUGCCUACAACAACAGCCAUCAUGCUAGCAUAGGGAUGGCUCCUUAUGAAGCUCUGUAUGGGAGGAAGUGCAGAACACCUGUUUGCUAGGAAGAGGUUGGAGAGAAGGCUCUUGCAGGGCCAGAGUUAGUUGAGCUUACCAGCAAGUUAGUGCCUGUGAUCAGAGAGAGUAUCAGAACAGCUUUAAGUAGGCAAAAAAGCUAUGUAGACAUCCGUAGGAAGCAGAUAGAGUUCCAGGAGGGGGAUAUGGUAUUGCUGAAAGUGUCUCCAAUGAAAGGAGUGGUUCGCUUUGGAAAGAAGGGUAAAUUGGCUCCACGGUACAUAGGUCCCUUUGAGAUCUUGCAGAAGAUCGGGCCUGUGUCGUAUAAGCUGGAUUUACCUGCAUCAAUGGAACGAGUUCACCCGGUAUUUCAUGUUUCUAUGUUGAGAAAAUUUGUGUCAGAUCCAGAGAAGGUUGUUAGUGAGCUUGAGGUGGAAAUCUUAAGCGAUCUCACCUAUGUCGAGCAGCCAGUGCGGAUCGUUGACACCCAGAUUCGAAAGCUAAGAAACAAGGAGAUACCAAUGGUGAAAGUCCUAAGGAACCACCAUAACCUUGAAGAGUGCACCUGGGACACACGGGAGUCGAUGCUCCAGCAAUAUCCAUAUCUGUUUUAAGGUUAGGUUUUCCCCUUUUCUAUGUGUUUAUGUGUAUGUGUGUUGUUAUGUGAGGAACAUUCAGGGACGAAUGUUCUUAAGGGGGGAAGAAUGUAAUAUCCGGCUCGAGUCCGACCUCGGAAUUCCUGUCAUCUGGUGGAAUCUCGGGUGUCGGAACCCUCGAGAAGGGUAAGACCUAUGUUUUCAUGAGUGUUUUACGAGUUUUGACGGUUUUCAAGGGUGAAAGUUGAAAGAAAAGCAACAAGGGAGAAAUGCAAAGGUUCGGCCGCCGAAGGUCACUUUCGGCCGCCGAACAUUGCAUGGUUUCGGAUUCACGUUCGGCUGCCGAAGGUGGUCUGGCCAGCCACCUAUAAAAGGGCCAAGGGUCGGUGGAAGCAGGAUAUUUCUCCUCCACUUGUAGCCAGAGAUGAAUUCCAGCCUCUCCCAAGUUGACUUUCAUGUUUUUCAUGUUUUUCACCAAAUCUUUCAAGGGUUUUAAGAGUUUUGGUGUGUUUUGAAGGUUUUGAGCAAAAAUAGCAAGUUUGGAAGUUUGGAGCUUUGGAAGAGGUUUUCUUCAUAUCUCCACGUUAGGAUCACUCAUCCUCAAGUUCUUAAGGAGGUAAGGGUGGAUCCUGAACUUCUUUGCUGAUUUUUCAAGGUUUUAUGAAAGUUUGAUGGGUAGUAUGCAUGAUUAGGUUAGGUGAGGUUUUUGGGAGAUGUUUAUGUUCAAGCAUGUGAAGUGUUGUUUGAUGUGUUUGUUUGAGGUUUUAGGCUAGUUUUGGACCUCUUUAUGCAUGUUUUAUGGUAUGUGCUAGUUGGGAGUAGUUGAUAUGCAUGUUGGGU
rnacentral:lncRNA from 1 species